rnacentral:tRNA from 1 species
GCCUGGGUGGCUCAGUUGAGCGUCUGACUUCGGCUCAGGUCAUGAUCUCACAGUUUGUGGGUUCGAGCCCCGCGUCCGGCU